rnacentral:rRNA from 1 species
GAACCUUCGGGGAACGUUAACGGCGUCGAGCGGCGGACGGGUGAGUAAUGCCUGGGAAAUUGCCCUGAUGUGGGGGAUAACCAUUGGAAACGAUGGCUAAUACCGCAUAAUAGCUUCGGCUCAAAGAGGGGGACCUUCGGGCCUCUCGCGUCAGGAUAUGCCCAGGUGGGAUUAGCUAGUUGGUGAGGUAAUGGCUCACCAAGGCGACGAUCCCUAGCUGGUCUGAGAGGAUGAUCAGCCACACUGGAACUGAGACACGGUCCAGACUCCUACGGGAGGCAGCAGUGGGGAAUAUUGCACAAUGGGCGCAAGCCUGAUGCAGCCAUGCCGCGUGUAUGAAGAAGGCCUUCGGGUUGUAAAGUACUUUCAGCAGUGAGGAAGGCAGGUACGUUAAUAGCGUGCUUGUUUGACGUUAGCUGCAGAAGAAGCACCGGCUAACUCCGUGCCAGCAGCCGCGGUAAUACGGAGGGUGCGAGCGUUAAUCGGAAUUACUGGGCGUAAAGCGCAUGCAGGUGGUUUGUUAAGUCAGAUGUGAAAGCCCGGGGCUCAACCUCGGAAUUGCAUUUGAAACUGGCAGACUAGAGUACUGUAGAGGGGGGUAGAAUUUCA